rnacentral:rRNA from 1 species
GAUGAACGCUGGCGGCGUGCCUAAUACAUGCAAGUCGAGCGAACGGACGAGAAGCUUGCUUCUCUGAUGUUAUCGGCGGACGGGUGAGUAACACGUGGAUAACCUACCUAUAAGACUGGGAUAACUUCGGGAAACCGGAGCUAAUACCGGAUAAUAUUUUGAACCGCAUGGUUCAAAAGUGAAAGACGGUCUUGCUGUCACUUAUAGAUGGAUCCGCGCUGCAUUAGCUAGUUGGUAAGGUAACGGCUUACCAAGGCAACGAUGCAUAGCCGACCUGAGAGGGUGAUCGGCCACACUGGAACUGAGAAACGGUCCAGACUCCUACGGGAGGCAGCAGUAGGGAAUCUUCCGCGAUGGGCGAGAGCCUGACAGAGGAACGCCGCGUAAGUGAUGAAGGUCUUCGGAUCGUAAAACUCUGUUAUUAGGGAAGAAGAUAUGUGUAAGUAACUGUGCACAUCUUGACGGUACCUAAUCAGAAAGCCACGGCUAACUCCGUG